GAGCAGAGGAUGCAAGCGUUAUCCGGAAUGAUUGGGCGUAAAGCGUCUGUAGGUGGUUACGCUAGUCGGCUGUUAAAGAUCAGGGCUGAACCCUGAGCAAGCGAGUCGAAACUGCGUGGCUGGAGUACGGUAGGGGCAGAGGGAAUUCCCGGGUGGUAGCGGGUAGAAAUGCGUAGAUAUCGGGAAGAACGACCAAAGGCGAAAGCGCUACUGCAUGGGC
rnacentral:rRNA from 1 species